rnacentral:tRNA from 1 species
UCCCUCAUAGCUCAGUCGGUAAAGCCUCUGCCUGCAAUGCAGGAGACCCGAGUUCGACUCUUGGGUUGGGAA